rnacentral:rRNA from 1 species
GACGAACGCUGGCGGCGUGCCUAAUACAUGCAAGUAGAACGCUGAAGGAGGAGCUUGCUUCUCUGGAUGAGUUGCGAACGGGUGAGUAACGCGUAGGUAACCUGCCUGGUAGCGGGGGAUAACUAUUGGAAACGAUAGCUAAUACCGCAUAAUAGCAGUUAUUGCAUGAUAACUGUUUGAAAGGUGCAAUUGCACCACUACCAGAUGGACCUGCGUUGUAUUAGCUAGUUGGUGGGGUAACGGCUCACCAAGGCGACGAUACAUAGCCGACCUGAGAGGGUGAUCGGCCACACUGGGACUGAGACACGGCCCAGACUCCUACGGGAGGCAGCAGUAGGGAAUCUUCGGCAAUGGACGGAAGUCUGACCGAGCAACGCCGCGUGAGUGAAGAAGGUUGUCGGAUCGUAAAGCUCGGUUGUAAGAGAAGAACGAGUGUGAGAGUGGAAAGUUCACACUGUGACGGUAUCUUACCAGAAAGGGACGGCUAACUACGUG